UCGAGAAUUUUUCACAAUGGACGAAAGUCUGAUGGAGCGACGCCGCGUGGAGGAUGAAGGUUCUUGGAUUGUAAACUCCUGUCACUGCAGAACAAGGCUACAUGUAUGAAUAGUACGUGUAGUUGAUGGUAUGCGGAGAGGAAGGGACGGCUAACUCUGUGCCAGCAGCCGCGGUGAGACAGAGGUCCCGAGCGUUGUUCGGAUUCAUUGGGCGUAAAGGGUGUGUAGGAGGUCAGGUAAGUCGUGUGUGAAAUCUCAGAGCUUAACUCUGAAACUGCGCUCGAUACUGCUUGGCUAGAGGAUCGGAGGGGGUAACGGAAUUUAUGGUGUAGCAGUGAAAUGCGUAGAUAUCAUAAGGAACACCGGUGGCGAAGGCGGUUACCUGGAAGAUUCCUGACUCUGAAACACGAAAGCCAGGGGAGCAAACG
rnacentral:rRNA from 1 species